AAAUUUGAUCUGAAAUCAGGCGGGA
rnacentral:rRNA from 1 species